AGUGAACGCUGGCGGUAGGCCUAACACAUGCAAGUCGAACGGCAGCACAGUAAGAGCUUGCUCUUACGGGUGGCGAGUGGCGGACGGGUGAGGAAUACAUCGGAAUCUACUUUUUCGUGGGGGAUAGCGUAGGGAAACUUACGCUAAUACCGCAUACGACCUACGGGUGAAAGCAGGGGAUCUUCGGACCUUGCGCGAUUGAAUGAGCCGAUGUCGGAUUAGCUAGUUGGCGGGGUAAAGGCCCACCAAGGCGACGAUCCGUAGCUGGUCUGAGAGGAUGAUCAGCCACACUGGAACUGAGACACGGUCCAGACUCCUACGGGAGGCAGCAGUGGGGAAUAUUGGACAAUGGGCGCAAGCCUGAUCCAGCCAUACCGCGUGGGUGAAGAAGGCCUUCGGGUUGUAAAGCCCUUUUGUUGGGAAAGAAAAGCAGCAGGUUAAUACCCCGCUGUUCUGACGGUACCCAAAGAAUAGGCACCGGCUAACUUCGUG
rnacentral:rRNA from 1 species